rnacentral:rRNA from 1 species
UACGUAGGGUGCAAGCGUUAUCCGGAAUUAUUGGGCGUAAAGAGCUCGUAGGCGGUUUGUCGCGUCUGCUGUGAAAACCUGAGGCUCAACCUCGGGCUUGCAGUGGGUACGGGCAGACUAGAGUGCGGUAGGGGUGACUGGAAUUCCUGGUGUAGCGGUGGAAUGCGCAGAUAUCAGGAGGAACACCGAUGGCGAAGGCAGGUCACUGGGCCGCAACUGACGCUGAGGAGCGAAAGCAUGGGGAGCGAACAGG